rnacentral:rRNA from 1 species
UGGGGAAUCUUGCGCAAUGGGCGAAAGCCUGACGCAGCGACGCCGCGUGGGUGAUGAAGGCCUUCGGGUUGUAAAGCCCUGUGGAGGGGGACGAAUAAGGGCAGCCUAAUACGCUGACCGAUGACGGUACCCCUUUAGCAAGCACCGGCUAACUCUGUGCCAGCAGCCGCGGUAAGACAGAGGGUGCAAACGUUGUUCGGAAUUACUGGGCGUAAAGCGCGUGUAGGCGGCUUGGCAAGUCGGGUGUGAAAGCCCUGGGCUCAACCUAGGAAGUGCACUCGAAACUGCUUCGCUUGAGUGUCGGAGAGGAAAGCGGAAUUCUCGGUGUAGAGGUGAAAUUCGUAGAUAUCGAGAGGAACACCGGUGGCGAAGGCGGCUUUCUGGACGAUAACUGACGCUGAGACGCGAAAGCGUGGGGAGCAAACAG